GUGAGGAAUCUUGCGCAAUGGGUGAAAACCUGACGCAGCGACGCCGCGUGGGGGAUGAAGGCUUUCGGGUUGUAAACCCCUUUUGGGAGGGAAGAAAACCCAUCCGUUAAUAGCGGAUGGCAUGACGGUACCUCCAGAAAAAGCCACGGCUAACUCUGUGCCAGCAGCCGCGGUAAGACAGAGGUGGCGAGCGUUGUUCGGAGUUACUGGGCGUAAAGCGCACGUAGGCGGUUGGGUCAGUCCUAUGUAAAAUCCCCCUGCUUAACAGGGGAAAGCCGUAGGUGACUGCCCGGCUAGAGGACGGGAGAGGAGAGCGGAAUUCCCGGUGGAGCGGUGAAAUGCGUAGAUAUCGGGAGGAAGGCCGGUGGCGAAGGCGGCUCUCUGGAACGUUCCUGACGCUGAGGUGCUAAAGCGUGGGUAGCAAACAGG
rnacentral:rRNA from 1 species